GUAAAGCAAAAGAAGGCCACGCU
rnacentral:siRNA from 1 species